rnacentral:lncRNA from 1 species
CUCAAAGUUGUACUCACGUCAGCAAUCUUUUCGUCAAUUUUGUCGCAAAUGUCUGACUUGGCUUGGGAUAAUUCCGCUUGCAGUGAUGCUAUAGCGGCCAAUACCGCUUGGUUGUCAGCACUCUGCACGCUCGCCUCCCGGUUACCCUUUCCACUCUGGUUCAGUGCUUCAGUCGGGCCUCCUUCGUCGUUCGACUCAGCCUUGGACUGUCCUCUUUGCUUCGGCAUUUUAACUAAACAGCAGGUACUAGGAGUGUUUAAGAUGCAAAAUCCAAAAAACGUUCGAUUCAAAAUUGCAUAGGUUUUGUUUUAAAUGUAAUUUUAACAUGAAAUCUGUAGGAGCUACAGCAAGGCGCGUCUUAUCUCCUCAUCGCUCAACAGCGCCCCCCCAUUAUUUUACUAAUUUGAUUAUAAAAUAUUAAAUACUAAACCUAAUCAUUAUUACAUUUUAUGACGCUGAUUUAAUUAAACUAAUAUAACAACCCCGUUUCACCUAUAAUAUGUAACUAAAACAGAAUGUUCUAUAAACCACAGAUAAUAUAUAUAUAUAACUUCAACGGAAAGUUCUAUAAAGCACAGAUAAUAUAAACUGUGUAUAUUUAUAUUAUAUAUUCUAUCCUCAUACACUUGCUCUGUAAUCAGUCCCAUAAAUAACAGAAUGUGUGGUAGGAAUUAUCAAUGGUUUAUUAUUAAUGUGUUAAUUAUGUUGUCUGUGUUGUUUUUGUGUUUUAGGGUUGUUGAGAUUUUGCAGGUAACCAUGGAUAUAAUACUUGAAAAGAAGAUCAUUCUAUCCGAGAUCCUGUCUGCUGAAACGGCUUUUAUUCUCCAACAUGUUCAGCAGAACAAACUCAUCACAGAUCGUGACUACAGGGCUCUUAAAAGCCUUCCUCAAAACACUGAGAAGACAUCUGGUGAAGUGCUGGAUAAACUGAGAGACAAGGGGGAAGAUUCCUGUCAGAAGUUCAUAGUCUUGCUGAAGCACCAGUGUGUGUUGGAGCAAUAUCCAAGACUGAGAAAUGUUUUCCCAGAUCUCAGACAAGGAGAGGACCCAGAAGAGGCUGCAAGUGAAUUCUCUCCUGAGGCUAAGUAUGCGAAGAUUGUAGCUCAGGAUGGAAGCCAUGUCUCAGCUCCAGUCCUGACACGAAGUUUAGUUCAGGGAAACAUCAACAUCAACUCACACAAUCAUUAUCAUGGUAAGAUAAAGACAUUAGAUUCAACAGUAAUGUCCUGGUUUGAGUGUUAAUAUAAAAUACAUGUUUGAUCUGCAGUGCUGACACAAACACUCUCACACACACACAGACACACUCAUUAAGUCAAUCGCACACUCAAACUCACACACACACACACACACACACACACACACACACACACAGGGAGUGUGAACAUCAGAUGUAUUAUAGCGUUAGCUCCAGGUAAUGCUAGUCCUGGGGUGCUGCUGAGCAGGGCACACUGGUCAGUGACAUGUAGGGUAGAGGUCAACAUAAACCCUGGACACAGUAUGACUCCAUUCAGUGAAGCCCAGUUGUGUAGAAUCAUGCCAACUGUUCUAGACAGUAAGCAGCAUGCAAACCAUGAGUAGGAGUAGGAGAGAACAUCCACACUCACACACACACACUCAGACACACACACACACACACACACACACUCACACAAAUCAUGAGUAGGAGUAGGAGAGAACAUCCACACUCACACACAGUCAGACACCCACACACACACACACACACACACACACACACACAAACACACAAACACACAAACCAUGAGUAGGAGUAGGAGAGACCAUCCACACACACACACACACACACAAACCAUGAGUAAGAGCAGAGAUGGAUUUUGAUACAAAAUACAAAAUACAAAAUACCCCUCAAAUAAAUGUAUUAAAAUAAAAUACA